rnacentral:rRNA from 1 species
UACGGAGGGUGCGAGCGUUGUCCGGAAUCAUUGGGCGUAAAGGGCGCGUAGGUGGCGGGACAAGCGUGCGGUGAAAGCUCGGGGCUCAACCCCGAGUCGGCCGUGCGAACUGUUUUGCUUGAGCACUGUAGAGGCAGGCGGAAUUCCGGGUGUAGCGGUGGAAUGCGUAGAGAUCCGGAAGAACACCGGUGGCGAAGGCGGUCUGCUGGGCAGUUGCUGACACUGAGGCGCGACAGCGUGGGGAGCAAACAGG